AUUGAACGCUGGCGGUAUGCUUAACACAUGCAAGUCGAACGCGAACGCAUCUUCGGAUGUUAUUAGAGUGGCGGACGGGUGAGUAACGCGUGGGAAUCUACCUUAUAGUGGGGGACAGCCCGAGGAAACUCGGAUUAAUACCGCAUACCUUCUACGGAAGAAAGGCUUCGGCCGCUAUUAGAUGAGCCCGCGUUAGAUUAGCUAGUUGGUGAGGUAAGAGCUCACCAAGGCAACGAUCUAUAGCUGGUCUGAGAGGACGAUCAGCCACAUCGGGACUGAGACACGGCCCGGACUCCUACGGGAGGCAGCAGUGGGGAAUAUUGGACAAUGGACGAAAGUCUGAUCCAGCAAUACCGCGUGUGUGAAGAAGGCCUGAGGGUUGUAAAGCACUUUCAGUGGGGAAGAUAAUGACGUUACCCACAGAAGAAGCACCGGCUAACUCCGUGCCAGCAGCCGCGGUAAUACGGAGGGUGCAAGCGUUAAUCGGAAUUACUGGGCGUAAAGCGCGCGUAGGCGGCUAGAUAAGUCGGAUGUGAAAUCCCUGGGCUCAACCUAGGAACUGCAUUCGAAACUGUCUAGCUAGAGUUUUGGAGAGGUAAGUGGAAUUUCCGGUGUAGCGGUGAAAUGCAUAGAGAUCGGAAGGAACACCAGUGGCGAAGGCGACUUACUGGCCAAAAACUGACGCUGAGGUGCGAAAGCGUGGGUAGCGAACAGGAUUAGAUACCCUGGUAGUCCACGCCGUAAACGAUGUCAACUAGUCGUUGGUUCCCUUGAGGAAUUAGUGACGCAGCUAACGCAAUAAGUUGACCGCCUGGGGAGUACGCACGCAAGUGUAAAACUCAAAGGAAUUGACGG
rnacentral:rRNA from 1 species